AGGAAUGAGGAUGUGAGGGGCUGCUUGCCUUGUCCACAGACUUCAUUUCCCUAGGGUUGUAUCUCAGAGAUUCCUGGGUCACAUUGUCAUAUACUUCCCCCGAUUCACUAGGAAUUGCUCCUCUCUUCAUGGACCAAUGUAUCCCUUGAAAGUUGCAUUCGUCACAAACAUGUUUCCCAGAGGUGGGUGCCUGAUUUUUCUGGCCCUGACCAGGUGUCCAUUACCAUUUGUGACUUCAGCCCCAGGCAGAUUUAGGUCCCCAUCCAUUCCAGGCGCAGGGCCUUGUGCUGCAAGAUGCUGGGAUUUAUCUUCCCUGUCAAUCGAGUUCAAAUUCCUUGGACUUCAGCCCAUAGGCUUACAAGUGCAGCCUCAUUGCUACAAGGAAAUAUUAAGUGAGUCUUAUCUGCUGUGCGCAGCUGGUUCUCAGAGUUCAGUGAAUUGCUAUUUCCUUUGAUAUAGCAAACUCAAUUCGAAAUUGGGAUUGGAAAAACACAUUCGUUGACCAUUUCCUUCUCCAAGAUUGAUGUUGAAAAUAGACGGAGAUAUAAAUUCCAAGACUGGCUAUGUUUAAAAGAACAUAUUACCACAAAGCUACCACUUCGAGAAAUAUUAAGAAGGCUUCUAUAAACAUAGAAAGAACCCAAAAUGACAUAGAGCAGAAUUUUACACAGACAAUCUAUAGAAGCAAGGUCUUCACAUGAAACGUGAUGUCAAUAAAAACCUGUCUUUCAAUAAUCACUUCCCAUGUGAACAGUCUAAAUGCUCCCAUAAAAUGGCAUUGGCUUGCAGAUUGGAUUAAACAAGAGGCUCCAUCCAUACCUUGUCUAUAAGAGACACUUUUGGAACUGAAAGUUUUAUCCACACUGAAAGAGAAGGAAAGGAGAAACAUCUUUAAUGCCAACAGGCCUCACAUGACAACUGGGGCAGCAUUUAUCAUAUCAGAUGAAUCAGAUUAUAAGUCAAAGACUGUAGUUAGAAAUACAGAAGGACAUUAUAUCAUUGUUAAAUGCUCUAUGCACCAAGAAUUUCUAACAAUUGUAAAUAUUUAUGCCCCUAAUAUGGGAGAAGCCAACUACAUAAGCCCAACUGUUAAUCAAAAUAAAGAGUCAUAUUGAUAUGAAUACAUUAAUUGUAGCAGAUCUUAACAUGCCACUCAACAAUAGUAAGAUCAUCCAACUGAAAAUCAAGAAAGAUACAAGAGCUUUCAAUGAUGCAUUGGACAAGAAGAACCUCACAGAUAUACACAGAACACUCUAGAAGAACUCAUUCUUCUUGAGUGCACGUUUCUCUAGCAUAGACCACAUAUUGGGUCAAAAAUCAGGACUCAAUACCAGUAGAUCGAGAUUAUUCAUUGCAUAUUCUCAGACCACAAGUCUUUGAAACUGGUGCUCAACCACAAGAAAAAGUUUGGAAGGAAUUCCAACACUUGGAAGCUAAAGACCUCCUGCCCAAGGAUGUUUGGAUCAACCAGGAAAUCAAGGAAGAACUUAAACAAUUCAAGGAAACUAAUGAGAAUGAGGACAUAUUGGUCCAAAACCUAUGGGAUACGACAAGGGUGGUCCUAAAGGGAAAAUGCAUGGUGAUCCAAGCCUCAAUCCAAAAAGAAAAAAUAAAAAUUUGUAAAACAGCAGCUGUCUUUACACCUUGAGAAACUGGAUAAUCAACAACAAAUUAGGCCAACCCCACACACAAGAAGGGAAAUAAUCAAGAUUAGAGCAGAGAUCAAUAAGUUAGAAACUAGAUAUACAGUAGAACACAUAAACAAAACUAGAAACUGUUUCUUUGAAAGAAUCAAUAACGAAGGAAAGGGACAAGAUGGCAGAGAAUUAGGAGAUGCUGUUUCAAUUGGUCCGCUAAAGGGAGUUGAUAAUCUACCAGAACACUCUAGAUAUCCAUGAAAUCAGCCUUAGAUGUAGGAUUAUACAAUUCUGGAUCCCUAUGGGGGACAGAAGAUACCAGUGGUCAGGUAAAGUGGAGUUUUGAAGGAUCAGACUGUUAUCAGAGGAUAAACAGAAGGGGAGGGUCACCAGAAGCAACCCAUUGGAAAGUAGUACCCCAGUAUGAGAGUGUCCUGUGAUUGGAGAACAGCAUGAACUUGGAGUCUGGUUAAAAGCACUCAACAAAAGCAAAAGAUCUUAAAGGGCAACUGGUAGAAUCAGCCAGUCAUGGACACAGGCUAAAGCAUAGGGACCCAGGGCGGCCACCUCUGGUGACCACCCAUGCCAGACAGAAUGUGGUAAAGCCUCCAGGCCAUGGUCCUGAGGCACUGGGCACACAUGAGAGGGUAUGUGUGGAUGCCAGCCUGCACUCUCUCGAACCACAGCCUUUUGCACUCUGCACACUCACUGCACGACCAGGCACUCUCCACACUGAAAGAGGUCCAUGCAGGUGCUAGCCUGUGGUCUCUAGGACCAGCCAAGGGUCUGAACACUCCCAGGCCAGAAAAUGGGGCAUAAAAAUCUCACCACACUAUCUCUGGUUGGGAUAUCUCUGGCGGUCUGGACAUGCCCAAACAACAGCCCAGCAAAGGCAACCACUGGAAGCAGGCUCCCUGGACCAAUAUUGCUAAUGGUUUUGGUAACACAGGGGUACAAAGACAAGCAGGAGCUCCUGCUACUCCUAAGAUGGUGCCUAGGGAUGUGCUCUGCUGGUGGAUGGUGACAGAGGGAGAGUCUGUGGGUUCUGGACCACCCAGAAGGGAAGAGAUUGAGGCUUCUCUCUGAGAUGGGGGUCUGGGUGCAGUUUGCAUUCCUCUAAACCUCCAAAGAACCACAAAAAGCUUCCAAGGGGAAAAAAAUUCCUCUAGAGAACAAAAGCCCAGCCCAUUGAAAGGGGGCAGGAGGACUCAAGCAAGACUGCCUGAAAAACAGCAUGGCAGGCCCCACCCCAAGAAAGCCAGCCAAAAAAAAAGAAAGAAAGAAAAGAAGACAACCACCACAGGGUCCCCAUAAAACAGUAAAACCCCAAUAUCAGGGGAAAAGAAGAUAUUAAGCUCCUUGCAAUGCUCUAAAAUCCUGUGUAUUUCAUAGAUACAACUUUUAUUUUUAAUCUGUUCCCACUAUUCUCAUUCUUAAUUUUUAAAAAUUUUAACCUAUUUACCAUUACAGCGAGAGGUUCAACACAAAAAUUCCAUGCUAAUCUUUUAACUUAAACUUUUUUUAAAAAAAGAUUUUAUUUAUUUAUUUGACAGACAGAGAUCACAAGCAGGCAGAGAGGCAGGCAGAGAGAGAGGAGGAAGCAGGCUCCCUGCUGAGAGCCCGAUGCGGGGCUCAAUCCCAGGACCCUGGGAUCAUGACCUGAGCCGAAGGCAGUGGCUUAACCCACCGAGCCACCCAGGCGCCCCAAACUUUUUGAUACAUAU